rnacentral:rRNA from 1 species
GUCUUUUUGAUAAUAAUAUAAAGUCUAAUCUGCCCACUGAAAUUAUUUAAAGGGCUGCAGUAUAUUGACUGUACAAAGGUAGCAUAAUAAAUAGUCUUUUAAUUGAAGACUUGUAUGAAUGAUUUGAUGAGAUAUAAUCUGUCUCUUUGUUAAAAUUAGAAUUUAAUUUUUUAGUUAAAAAGCUAAAAUAAUUAUAAAAGACGAGAAGACCCUAUAGAGUUUUAUAAUUUUAUAAUUUUAAUUUUUUUAUUAAUUUUAAAUAUUAAAAUUAUAAAAUUAUUUUGUUGGGGUGAUAAAAAAAUUUAUUAAACUUUUUUUUAAAAAUUACAUUAAUUUAUGAAUAAUUGAUCCAUAAUUUAUGAUUAUAAGAAUAAAUUACCUUAGGGAUAACAGCGUAAUUUUUUUUUUUAGUUCUUAUAAAAAGAAAAGUUUGCGACCUCGAUGUUGGAUUAAGAUAAAAUUUAAAUGCAAAAGUUUAAAAUUUUUGAUCUGUUCGAUCAUUAAAAUCUU